rnacentral:tRNA from 1 species
UCUAUUUCUCGAUGGGGGCAGGGAAGGGAUAUAACUCACCGGUAGAGUGUCACCCUUGACGUGGUGGAAGUCAUCAGUUCGAGCCUGAUUAUCCCUA